rnacentral:rRNA from 1 species
UACGUAGGGUGCAAGCGUUAAUCGGAAUUACUGGGCGUAAAGCGUGCGCAGGCGGUUUUGUAAGUCUGUCGUGAAAUCCCCGGGCUUAACCUGGGAACUGCGCUUGUAACUGGCAAGCUAGAGUGUGGCAGAGGGGGGUGGAAUUCCACGUGUAGCAGUGAAAUGCGUAGAGAUGUGGAGGAACACCGAUGGCGAAGGCAGCCCCCUGGGCUAACACUGACGCUCAUGCACGAAAGCGUGGGGAGCAAACAGG